UACAGAGGGGGCAAGCGUUAUUCGGAAUUAUUGGGCGUAAAGGGCGCGUAGGCAGCCUGGCAAGUGGAAGGUGAAAUCCCUCGGCUUAACCGAGGAACUGCCCUCCAAACUGCUUGGCUUGAGUCCGGGAGAGGUGAGUGGAAUUCCCAGUGUAGCGGUGAAAUGCGUAGAUAUUGGGAGGAACACCAGUGGCGAAGGCGGCUCACUGGACCGGAACUGACGCUGAGGCGCGAAAGCGUGGGGAGCAAACGGG
rnacentral:rRNA from 1 species